AUGAACGCUGGCGGCGUGCCUAAUACCUGCCAGUCGAGCGAACAGACGAGGAGCUUGCUCCUCUGACGUUAGCGGCGGACGGGUGAGUAACACGUGGAUAACCUACCUAUAAGACUGGGAUAACUUCGGGAAACCGGAGCUAAUACCGGAUAAUAUAUUGAACCGCAUGGUUCAAUAGUGAAAGACGGUUUUGCUGUCACUUAUAGAUGGAUCCGCGCCGCAUUAGCUAGUUGGUAAGGUAACGGCUUACCAAGGCAACGAUGCGUAGCCGACCUGAGAGGGUGAUCGGCCACACUGGAACUGAGACACGGUCCAGACUCCUACGGGAGGCAGCAGUAGGGAAUCUUACGCAAUGGGCGAAAGCCUGACGGAGCAACGCCGCGUGAGUGAUGAAGGUCUUCGGAUCGUAAAACUCUGUUAUUAGGGAAGAACAAAUGUGUAAGUAACUAUGCACGUCUUGACGGUACCUAAUCAGAAAGCCACGGCUAACUACGUG
rnacentral:rRNA from 1 species